rnacentral:rRNA from 1 species
UACGUAGGAUGCAAGCGUUGUUCGGAAUUACUGGGCGUAAAGAGUACGUAGGCGGCAAUGUAAGUCUGAUAUUAAAGACUGGGGCUUAACCUCAGGAGUGUAUCGGAAACUACAUAGCUAGAGGACAGUAGAGGAAGUCGGAAUUCUCAGUGUAGCGGUGAAAUGCGUAGAUAUUGGGAAGAACACCGGUGGCGAAAGCGGACUUCUGGGCUGUUACUGACGCUGAGGUACGAAAGCGUGGGGAGCAAACAGG